GGGGAUUUAGCUCAGUGGUAGAGCGCUUGCCUAGGAAGCGCAAGGAGCUGGGUUCGGUCCCCA
rnacentral:tRNA from 1 species